rnacentral:rRNA from 1 species
CUACGGGAGGCAGCAGUGGGGAAUUUUGGACAAUGGGCGCAAGCCUGAUCCAGCCAUGCCGCGUGCGGGAAGAAGGCCUUCGGGUUGUAAACCGCUUUUGUCAGGGAAGAAACAGUCUGGGUUAAUACCUCGGACUAAUGACGUACCGAAGAUAAGACGCAGCG